GUGGGUAGUUUGACUGGGGCGGUCUCCUCCUAAAGCGUAACGGAGGAGCACGAAGGUUGGCUAAUCCUGGUCGGACAUCAGGAGGUUAGUGCAAUGGCAUAAGCCAGCUUGACUGCGAGCGUGACGGCGCGAGCAGGUGCGAAAGCAGGUCAUAGUGAUCCGGUGGUUCUGAAUGGAAGGGCCAUCGCUCAACGGAUAAAAGGUACUCCGGGGAUAACAGGCUGAUACCGCCCAAGAGUUCAUAUCGACGGCGGUGUUUGGCACCUCGAUGUCGGCUCAUCACAUCCUGGGGCUGAAGUAGGUCCCAAGGGUAUGGCUGUUCGCCAUUUAAAGUGGUACGCGAGCUGGGUUUAGAACGUCGUGAGACAGUUCGGUCCCUAUCUGCCGUGGGCGCUGGAGAACUGAGGGGGGCUGCUCCUAGUACGAGAGGACCGGAGUGGACGCAUCACUGGUGUUCGGGUUGUCAUGCCAAUGGCACUGCCCGGUAGCUAAAUGCGGAAGAGAUAAGUGCUGAAAGCAUCUAAGCACGAAACUUGCCCCG
rnacentral:rRNA from 2 species